CCUACGGGGGGCUGCAGUGGGGAAUAUUGGACAAUGGGGGGAACCCUGAUCCAGCCAUGCCGCGUGUGUGAAGAAGGCCCUCGGGUUGUAAAGCACUUUCAGUGAGGAAGAACGCCUGGUGGUUAAUACCCAUCAGGAAAGACAUCACUCACAGAAGAAGCACCGGCUAACUCCGUGCCAGCAGCCGCGGUAAUACGGAGGGUGCGAGCGUUAAUCGGAAUUACUGGGCGUAAAGCGCGCGUAGGUGGCUUGAUAAGCCGGUUGUGAAAGCCCCGGGCUCAACCUGGGAACGGCAUCCGGAACUGUCAAGCUAGAGUGCAGGAGAGGAAGGUAGAAUUCCCGGUGUAGCGGUGAAAUGCGUAGAGAUCGGGAGGAAUACCAGUGGCGAAGGCGGCCUUCUGGGCUGACACUGACACUGAGGUGCGAAAGCGUGGGUAGCAAACAGGAUUAGAUACCCCUGUAGUC
rnacentral:rRNA from 1 species